UGACCCUUAUUAAGCCGAGGGUCACCUAGCCAACUGACGUUGUUAGUGAACUUUUUUGUUCACAAUCAAAUAUAGCCAACCACGCAAAUUGUGAUUGGCUUUUUUUUU
rfam:Vibrio hepatarius strain DSM 19134 contig0001, whole genome shotgun sequence.